AGUGAACGCUGGCGGCAGGCCUAACACAUGCAAGUCGAACGGCAGCACAGUGGUAGCAAUACCAUGGGUGGCGAGUGGCGGACGGGUGAGGAAUACAUCGGAAUCUACUUUUUCGUGGGGGAUAACGUAGGGAAACUUACGCUAAUACCGCAUACGACCUUCGGGUGAAAGCAGGGGACCUUCGGGCCUUGCGCGAUUAAAUGAGCCGAUGUCGGAUUAGCUAGUUGGCGGGGUAAAGGCCCACCAAGGCGACGAUCCGUAGCUGGUCUGAGAGGAUGAUCAGCCACACUGGAACUGAGACACGGUCCAGACUCCUACGGGAGGCAGCAGUGGGGAAUAUUGGACAAUGGGCGCAAGCCUGAUCCAGCCAUGCCGCGUGGGUGAAGAAGGCCUUCGGGUUGUAAAGCCCUUUUGUUGGGAAAGAAAAGCAGUCGGCUAAUACCCGAUUGUUCUGACGGUACCCAAAGAAUAAGCACCGGCUAACUUCGUGCC
rnacentral:rRNA from 1 species